rnacentral:rRNA from 1 species
UCCUGACUCAGGGAGGUGGUGACAGAUAUAAUGACGCUAUGAAAAUAGUGAUUAUAGUGAGUACCGCUGCAGCAAACCGAACCACAAGUACGAUUAGAGGGCAAGUCUGGUGCCAGCAGCCGCGGUAAUUCCAGCUCUAAUAGCGUAUAUUAAAGUUGCUGCAGUUAAAAAGCUCGUAGUUGGAUUUCAAGGAACACGUAUUCCCCCGGAAUAUGUGCCCUACUAUUCCUUUUUUGCUGUUACUGUGAGAAAAUUAGAGUGUUUAAAGCAAGCUUUUGCAAGAAUACAUUAGCAUGGAAUACGAAUGAGUCUAGAAUCUAGGUAAUUCUAGAUCUCGAUUAAUAGAGACAGUGGGGGAGAGAGGGACGCAGAGGAAUUCUUGGAUUUGUAAGACCACUCAUGUUAUUCGCUGCAAGUCGCAAUGUUUCAUUAUCAGACGAAGAUAGGCAUCCAACACCAUCAGAUACUGUCGUAGUCUAUCAUAACUAUGCCGACCACGGAUCGAUGAACAUCACAUUCAUACCUAUGAGAAUCAAGUCUUGGGUCCUGGGGGAGUAUGUCGCAAACUGACCUAUGACUGACGUGUCAUCCAGGAUGGAACUGGGCUAUGACCAACGGAACUACAGUCAAAUAAAGAUGAGAUGAAGCUUCUUGAUCUGGGGGGGCAUGCGUCUAUGGGAGAUGCUGUUAUCGAUCACGACUACGUACAAUCAUUGAAAUCUCUAAGCAUGCUAAAUGAUGGAAAGCUGUAG